ACCCUGGGAUCAUGACCUGAGCUGAAGGCAGACGCUUCACUGAUUGAGCCACCCAGACGCCCCACAUUUUGUGUUUCUGCCGGUCAUGACGGCGAGGUGACUGCGCGUGGUGCACGUGAUUCUCUGAUUGUGUGGGUGCCAAUGAAGAUCCCACUAAGCAGGACGCAAGGAUGAGGCCAACGAGCAGCGCGAGCGGCCCGACACCACUUCCGGGGCGCUUCUGCAAUCCACCGCGCACUCGGCUACCCCCUCUCCGUCUUUCCAGAGGCGGGCCUGACGUGGGAGCUCGCCUCCGGAGGCUGGCUGUGAUAAGCUAGCCCUGACGUCAGUCACUAUCUUCCAGCCAAUAGACGCUCCGCCUCCUAUCGCCCCCGGCCACUAGGGGCACGUUCCCUGGUAGGCGAAGCCCACGGCCUAAGUCGGACAGCGAUAGGCUCUGGGAGACGCCAGUCUCCCCUAGUCUCCGCCAGUCAGCCAAUAGGCCGGGCACCUGCGGGGUGGGAAUCCUGCGGCGCACCGCAGAGGCUGGAGCGGCUCGGGAGGGAAACAGGUUCUGCGAGUCCGGUCAGGUCCAGGAAGGAGUGGAGCCACGAGGAGGCGCCCACGCGGAGGUCUCGGAAGAGCAGGGCCGUGUCCCGCCGCACCAGCCCCAUCAUGCCCAGCGCCUUCUGGUCCGAGUCAGAGUGGUCCUCUGUCUCUCCACCUGUGGAGUAUGGGUGGAGGGCUGAGGCCCAGUCUCAACGCCCGGAACUUCAGGCCUCUGUGUCCCUGGGGACCCAAGAAUAUCUGAUGGCUUCAGUGGGGACCAGCAGCCUCAGACUUCCCUUCCUGAGCCCCGGGAGACGGGCGCUAGCCCCCGUCCCUGCAGGACUCCAGCGUCCAAGGCCUCCCCAGGGCCCCAGCUCUGUGGGUGGUGGCCUUACCAGCGUAGGCGCUGACACACUUGUGCUCCCCGAAGGACACGAGCCCGAUGGAGAUGGUCUGCAGGAAUGGCCGGAUGGCAGGCGUGAACUGUGGAGAGACGCCGCUGGGUCACCCGCUGCCCAGGAGGGACUGGAGGCAGGCAGGAGUGAGGGGCAGAGACGUGGUCUGUGGGGAGACGUGGUCAUUCAGCGAAAAUUUAGUGGGCUCCUACUGUGUGCCAGGCACUGCUCUAGGCAACAGGAAGCAAAUAAAGGCGUAUGUUCAGUGUUAA